rnacentral:rRNA from 1 species
AUUGAACGCUGGCGGCAGGCCUAACACAUGCAAGUCGAACGAGUGGCGGACGGGUGAGUAAUGUCUGGGAAACUGCCUGCUGGAGGGGGAUCACUACUGGAAAUGGUAGCUAAUACCGCAUACCAUCAGAUGUGCCCAGAUGGGAUUAGCUUGUUGGUGGGGUAACGGCUCACCAAGGCGACGAUCCGUAGCUGGUCUGAACGGAUGACCAGCAAGACUGGAACUGAGACACGGUCCAGACUCCUACGGGGGGCAGCAGUGGGAAAGAUUGAACAAUUGGCGCAAGCCUGAUGCAGCCAUGCCGCGUGUAUGAAGAAGGCGUUCGGGUGGUAAAGUAGUUUCAGCGAAGGGGCGUUACCCGCAGAAGAAGCACAGGCUAACUCCGAGCCAGCAGCCGCGGUAAUAC